GGCCUCAGAGUAUUGAAUAUUUAAUAGGGAGUGUGUGCCCUUGCGAGGCCAGGUGUGAGGAAGGGGCUGGAAUCAGGACCCAGGCCUCCUUGGACAACGAUUUUGGGCAGGCAAGCUUUUUGUUAUCACAGUGUUGAACAUUCUUGUACCCGUCUCUAACUUCAAUGACACAAAGAAGCUGUAGACUGCCAAGUAAAUUGGUGACAGCUGUGACUUGAAGAGCACUACUGAAUGACUCAAGCAAUAAAAAACAACUCUGACAAGUUUAAGCAAAAGAGAGAGCAUGGCAUCCAUGGAAGAAUUUCAGAUCCUCGG